AACGAACGCUGGCGGCAUGCCUAACACAUGCAAGUCGAACGAUGCCUCCGGGCAUAGUGGCGCACGGGUGCGUAACGCGUGGGAAUCUGCCUUUCGGUUCGGAAUAACUCAGGGAAACUUGAGCUAAUACCGGAUAACGUCGCAAGACCAAAGAUUUAUCACCGAAAGAGGAGCCCGCGUAGGAUUAGCUAGUUGGUGAGGUAAAGGCUCACCAAGGCGACGAUCCUUAGCUGGUCUGAGAGGAUGAUCAGCCACACUGGGACUGGGACACGGCCCAGACUCCUACGGGAAGCAGCAGUGGGGAAUAUUGGACAAUGGGCGAAAGCCUGAUCCAGCAAUGCCGCUUGAGUGAUGAAGGCCUUAGGGUUGUAAAGCUCUUUUACCCGGGAAGAUAAUGACGGUACCGGGAGAAUAAGCCCCGGCUAACUCCGUG
rnacentral:rRNA from 1 species